UAAGGGCUCACCAAGGCGACGAUCCCUAGCUGGUCUGAGAGGAUGAUCAGCCACACUGGAACUGAGACACGGUCCAGACUCCUACGGGAGGCAGCAGUGGGGAAUAUUGCACAAUGGGCGCAAGCCUGAUGCAGCCAUGCCGCGUGUAUGAAGAAGGCCUUCGGGUUGUAAAGUACUUUCAGCAGUGAGGAAGGUGNUUGAUGUUAAUAGCAUCAUAUUUGACGUUAGCUGCAGAAGAAGCACCGGCUAACUCCGUGCCAGCAGCCGCGGUAAUACGGAGGGUGCGAGCGUUAAUCGGAAUUACUGGGCGUAAAGCGCAUGCAGGUGGUUUGUUAAGUCAGAUGUGAAAGCCCGGGGCUCAACCUCGGAAUUGCAUUUGAAACUGGCAGACUAGAGUACUGUAGAGGGGGGUAGAAUUUCAGGUGU
rnacentral:rRNA from 1 species